rnacentral:lncRNA from 10 species
GGGAACUCCCUGACCCCUUGCGCUUUCUGAGUGAGGCAGUGCCUCGCCCUGCUUCGGCUCGCACACGGUGCGCGCACCCACUGACCUGCGCCCACUGUCUGGCACUCCCUAGUGAGAUGAACCCGGUACCUCAGAUGGAAAUGCAGAAAUCACCCGUCUUCUGCGUCGCUCACGGUGGGAGCUGUAGACUGGAGCUGUUCCUAUUCGGCCAUCUUGGCUCCUCCGCAUUUGUUUUUAUGGUGGUUUUGUAUUGUUUUUAUAGAGCUGCCCUCACAUGCUUCAGCAACAUUAGAUGUUCUGGAGACUGGAAAGUCCAAGAUCAUGGUGCCUGAGGAUUCAGUGUCUGAAGUGGUGUUUCCUCGUGUUGCCCAUGCUGGUCUCCAAUUCCUGAACUCAAGUAAUCCAUCUACCUUGGCCUCCUAAAGUGCUGGGAUUACAGGUGUGAGCCACCAUGCUCAGCCUGCUCAUCAUUAUUUAUAUCAACUUCAAUCCUAAGGAUUAUGCUUUUCCUUCUGUAGGAUUUACUAAAAAGAGUCUUUUCUUUGGAAUAAACUAUUUUGUGACUUUUCUAUAAAAACAAUGAGACUAGGAUUAUAGAACAUGACUCCUAUAUUGC